AUUAUUUAUUUAUUGUACAAGGUCCUAGCAGUAGAACAAGAUCCCAUUCAACUAGCUCAGAAUCAUCUUCGAGUUCAUCAUCAAUAAGUUCAAGUUCAUCAUCUUCAUCUAGUUCAUCUGAAUCGGAUCAAUAAUUGUAAGCGCCGUGUAUGUAAAACUUUCUUGAAAAACACAUUGGCUAUUAGUAAUCGACCUAUCGCAACUGUUAUAUCAAAGAAAAACCAAUCGGGAACGGUUGACGAAGAACUAAGGGGUAAACAUGGGAAACACAACAAAGUCAGCUUAGAUAUCAUUAAAAGCAUAAAAAAGCACAUAGACUCAAUCCCAAGGAUAUAUCCCAAGGAUAUAUACUGAUUGAUAUUAUUAUUCCAAGUGAUUGUCAGGAUCUCUCUUUGUUUUGUAAUAAAACAUUAUUAAUUAAAA